rnacentral:rRNA from 1 species
CGAAGGUGGCAAGCGUUACUCGGAAUUACUAGGCGUAAAGGGCAGGUAGGUGGUUUGGUUAGUCUGUUGUGAAAGCUCCUUGCUUAACGGGGAGAGGCCAACAGAUACUGCCAGACUUGAGUAUAGGAGAGGGUACUGGAAUUCCCGGUGUAGCGGUGAAAUGCGCAGAGAUCGGGAGGAACACCAAUGGCGAAAGCAGGUACCUGGACUAUUACUGACACUAAGCUGCGAAAGCUAGGGGAGCAAACAGGAUUAGAUACCCUGGUAGUCUUAGCCGUAAACGAUGCACAUUAGGCGUGAGGGGUAUCGACCCCCUUCGUGCCGAAGCAAACGCAUUAAAUGUGCCGCCUGGGGAGUACGGCCGCAAGGUUG